rnacentral:lncRNA from 1 species
AAACUGCAGUUGUAAUCCAGGAUUCACGGGCCUGUAGGGGCUCAGACUUCAAAUUGAACCGCGCCUCGGCGGCAGCCACAGGUGUAAUACACGAGGCCCAGGUACCAGAAGGUGUCCAGCAGGGCCUUGGCGGCGCCCUAGCAGCUGAGGUCCAGCCGCUGCGCGCCCAGGUUCAUCUCAUUAGUGGACGCCGCGGGCCCGCGAGUUCGGAGCAGCGCGUGUAUCUGUGGGUCUUUGGGGCUGGCCUCGCUAGCCUACCAGCUUCCUUUCGGUGAUGCUCUUUGCUACCGCCAGGCUCCUGACCCCAGCUUGGACAGCAGGCCGCCGAGCGCCCCUGACGCCCGUUACCGAGAUGGCUGCGCAGAAGGAGUGGCUGUGGGGCUGUGAUCUCUCCUAGAACCUCAGAGGCAUGAAGCUAGAAUAUCUUCCCCUUCAAGGAGAAUAAGCCAAG